rnacentral:tRNA from 1 species
UGGGAUGUAGCCAAGUGGUAAGGCAUCGGUUUUUGGUACCGUGUAUCGUAGGUUCGAAUCCUACCAUCCCAGCCA